rnacentral:rRNA from 1 species
AUACGUAGGUGACAAGCGUUAUCCGGAUUUACUGGGCGUAAAGGGCGUGUAGGCGGUCUUGCAAGUCAGAAGUGAAAUUCCUGAGCUCAACUCGGGCGCUGCUUCUGAAACUGCAGGACUUGAGUGCCGGAGGGGAUAGCGGAAUUCCUAGUGGAGCGGUAAAAUGCGCAGAUAUUAGGAAGAACACCGGUGGCGAAGGCGGCUAUCUGGACAGUAACGGACGCGGAGGCGCGAAAGCGUGGGGAGCAAACAGGAUUAGAUCCCCUGGUAGUCCACGCCGUAAACGAUGAAUACUAGGUGUAGGGGGUAUCGACUCCCUCUGUGCCGCAGUUAACACAAUAAGUAUUCCGCCUGGGGAGUACGGCCGCAAGGUUGAAACUCAAAUGAAUUGACGGGG